CCACAGCCUGAUGGUGGUGGAAGAGGCAGAGCAGGAGGAAGAGCAGAGAGGCGAAGAGGAGGAAGAGGAGGGCAGGGGCUGCCUCUGGGACGUCUUUGACAGCAUGUUGAACAUGAAGCCCCAGGAUGGGUGAUCAAGGACCCCAACGCAUCCCCCUGCGGUGACACGGAGCAGUUUGGAGCCUGUUUAUCGCCGUUAUGAGACC